AGCAUUUCCUGCUGCUCUAUUACAUUGUCUGCCUACCUUUAAGUCAUCAGAAAUAAUCACCCCUAAAUCCCUUUCCUCAUAUGUUGAGGUUAGGACACUAUCAAAUAUUCUGUACUCUGCCCUUGGGUUUUUACGUCCAAGAUGCAUUAUCUUGCACUUAUCCACAUUAAAUGUCAGUUGCCACAAUUCUGACCAUUUUUCUAGUUUAC